rnacentral:rRNA from 1 species
CCUACGGGUGGCAGCAGUGAGGAAUAUUGGUCAAUGGGCGAGAUCCUGAACCAGCCAAGCCGCGUGAAGGAUGACGGCCCUAUGGGUUGUAAACCUCUUUUGUCGGGGAACAAAACCCGGGACGUGUCCCGGACUGCGUGUAUCCGAAGAAAAAGCAUCGGCUAACUCCGUGCCAGCAGCCGCGGUAAUACGGAGGAUGCGAGCGUUAUCCGGAUUUAUUGGGUUUAAAGGGUGCGUAGGCGGUCCGUUAGGUCAGCGGUAAAAUUGCGGGGUUCAACCCAGUAGUGCAGUUGAAACUGGCAGACUUGAGUUGGCGAGAGGUACGCGGAAUUCGAGGUGUAGCGGUGAAAUGCAUAGAUAUCGCGAAGAACUCCGAUUGCGAAGGCAGCGUACUGGCGCCAGACUGACGCUGAGGCGCGAAAGCGUGGGGAUCGAACAGGAUUAGAUACCCCAGUAGUC